rnacentral:hammerhead_ribozyme from 1 species
UUACUGAUGAAGAGUCCCCAAAUAGGACGAAACCGCAGUCCAGUAC